rnacentral:rRNA from 1 species
UGCCAGCCUCCGCUGUACCACUUAAUUUGCAAGCGUUGUUCGGAUUCAUUGGGCGUAAAGGGCAUGUAGGCGGCAUGACAAGUCAGGUGUGAAAUAUCUCGGCUCAACCGAGAAAACGCACUGGAAACUGUCAAGCUUGAGUAUCGGAGGGGAAGCUAGAAUUCCUGGUGUAGGGGUGAAAUCUGUAGAUAUCAGGAAGAAUACCGGUGGCGAAGGCGAGCUUCUGGCCAGAUACUGACGCUGAGAUGCGAAAGCGUGGGGAGCGAACAGGAUUAGAUA